CCUCCGGCAGCUUACACAUGACAACGUCGAACGGAAAGGCCCCGUCUCUGCGGGGUACUCGAGUGGCGAACGGGUGAGUAACACGUGGGUGAUCUGCCUUGUACUUCGGGAUAAGCUUGGGAAACUGGGUCUAAUACCGGAUAGGACCACGGUUUGGUGAUGGUGGUGGAAAGCUUUUGCGGUAUGAGAUGAGCUCGCGGCCUAUCAGCUUGUUGGUGGGGUAAUGGCCUACCAAGGCGUCGACGGGUAGCCGGCCUGAGAGGGUGUACGGCCACAUUGGGACUGAGAUACGGCCCAGACUCCUACGGGAGGCAGCAGUGGGGAAUAUUGCACAAUGGGCGGAAGCCUGAUGCAGCGACGCCGCGUGGGGGAUGACGGCCUUCGGGUUGUAAACUCCUUUCGAUAGGGACGAAGCGUAAGUGACGGUACCUGUAGAAGAAGCACCGGCUAACUACGUGCCAGCAGCCGCGGUAAUACGUAGGGUGCGAGCGUUGUCCGGAAUUACUGGGCGUAAAGAGCUCGUAGGUGGUUUGUCGCGUCGUCUGUGGAAGUCCGGGGCUUAACUCCGGGGGUGCAGGCGAUACGGGCAUAACUUGAGUGCUGUAGGGGAGACUGGAAUUCCUGGUGUAGCGGUGGAAUGCGCAGAUAUCAGGAGGAACACCGAUGGCGAAGGCAGGUCUCUGGGCAGUUACUGACGCUGAGGAGCGAAAGCAUGGGUAGCGAACAGGAUUAGAUACCCUGGUAGUCCAUGCUGUAAACGGUGGGCGCUAGGUGUAGGGGACUUCCACGUUUCCUGUGCCGUAGCUAACGCAUUAAGCGCCCGCCUGGGGAGUACGGCCGCAAGGCUAAACUCAAAGGAAUUGACGGGGCCCGCACAAGCGGCGGAGCAUGUGGAUAAUUCGAUGCAACGCGAAGAACCUUACCUGGGCUGACAUACACCAGAUCGCCGUAAAGAUACGCUUCCCUUGUGUGUGUACAGGUGGUGCAUGUGUCGUCAGCUCUGUCUGAAUGUGGUAGUCGCACGAGCGCAUCUUGUCUUAUGUGGCAGCACUGAUGUGGGACUCAUGAAGACUGCGGUACUCGAGAGUGAUGACUCAAUAUCAUGCCUAUGUGACAGGCUUCACAUGCUCCAAUGGUGCGUACACGCGGUGUCUCAUCUCCUAAGA
rnacentral:rRNA from 1 species